rnacentral:lncRNA from 1 species
AGCCUUUCGAUAAGGUCAGUUUUAUAAUGGUCUCAACCUUUCGAUGAGCUCGGUCUCCUCAUGAUCUCGACCUCUUGAUGAGGUCAAUUUUUUGAUGAUCUCGACCUCUUAAUGAGGUUAGCUUUCUAAUGAGCUUGACUUUCUGAUGAGCUCGAUCUCCUGAUGAGGUCGGUCUUUUGAUAAGUUCGAUCUUUUGAUGAGCUUGGCCUCCUCAUGAUC